rnacentral:rRNA from 1 species
AUUGAACGCUGGCGGCAAGCCUAACACAUGCAAGUCGAACGAGUGGCGGACGGGUGAGUAAUGUCUGGGAACCUGCCUGAUGGAGGGGGAUAACUACGGGAAACGGUAGCUAAUACCGCAUACCCUCGGAUGUGCCCAAGUGGGAUUAGGUAGUAGGUGGGGUAAAGGCUCACCUAGGCGACGAUCCCUAGCUGGUCUGAGAGGAUGACCAGCCACACUGGAACUGAGACACGGUCCAGACUCCUACGGGAGGCAGCAGUGGGUAAUAUUGCACAAUGGGCGCAAGCCUGAUGCAGCCAUGCCGCGUGUAUGAAGAAGGCCGUCGGGUUGUAAAGUACUUUCAGCGGGGAGGCGUUACUCGCAGAAGAAGCACCGGCUAACUCCGUGCCAGCCGCCGCGGUAAUUC